UGCUGAUUUCAAACAUUUACUCUCAUACUGCAGAAAGACCAACACCUCAAGUGACGGUUUUGCCUGCUGAUCAUGUAUUCAGAGGAGAAACUGUCAAUCUCACAUGUGCUAUCAAUGUAGGAGGAGACAUUAGCUGGCAGUACAGCUGGUAUAAAGAUGAUUCAGACAUCCAGCAGAAUAAACUUCAGUAUUACACAAUCAGAUCUGUUACUGAGUCUGACACAGGUAAAUACACCUGUAGAGGAACAGAGAUCAGUGGAUCACGAUACUCACACUUCAGUAAUGAAGUAACACUGACAGUAUCAGAUAUUCCCCGACCAACUCUGACUGUGCAGCCACAGACGUCUGUGUUCAGUGGAGACAGAGUUACUCUGAUCUGUGAGGUUCAUCAGUCCACUGGAUGGGAGUUUAUCUUCAUUAACCCUUCAAACACUGAAUCCACUGAACUUACAGGAACUAAAACAAUCAGAUCUGUGCGAGUCUCUGAUGGAGGAGAGUACAAGUGCAGAGCCAGAAGAAAAGAAAACAAACAGCUUUACACAGAAGACAGUGAACCAAUAACAGUGACAG